UACGUAGGGGGCAAGCGUUGUCCGGAAUCAUUGGGCGUAAAGCGCGUGUAGGCGGCUUGGUCAGUCUGCUCUGAAAGCCCGGGGCUCAACCCUGGGAGGCGGGUGGAUACUGCCGAGCUCGAGUCCGGAAGAGGCGAGUGGAAUUCCUGGUGUAGCGGUGAAAUGCGCAGAUAUCAGGAGGAACACCAAUAGCGAAGGCAGCUCGCUGGGACGUUACUGACACUGAGGCGCGAAAGCGUGGGGAGCGAACAGG
rnacentral:rRNA from 1 species